UACGUAGGUGGCAAGCGUUGUCCGGAAUUAUUGGGCGUAAAGGGCGCGUAGGCGGCCUUCUAAGUCGAACGUGAAAUCCCCGGGCUCAACCCGGGAACUGCGUCCGAUACUGAAAGGCUUGAAUCCGGGAGAGGGAUGCGGAAUUCCAGGUGUAGCGGUGAAAUGCGUAGAUAUCUGGAGGAACACCGGUGGCGAAGGCGGCAUCCUGGACCGGCAUUGACGCUGAGGCGCGAAAGCCAGGGGAGCAAACGGG
rnacentral:rRNA from 1 species